CCAUAUCUCAUUAAAACCACGCCCAAAGCAUCCAUUGAAAGUCCAUGUAUGGGGAGGCAUAACACGAUUAGGAGCUGGUCCCCUAUUAUUUUUCGAAGGGAUCAUGGAUAAGAAAUUUUUCCAAGAAACAAUAGUAGAGGGAUGUAUGGUGCCAUUUGUGAAUAAAUAUUACCCAACUCACCAUAGGAUAUUCCAAGACAAUGAUCCUAAACACUCCGCCUCUGCCAAAUUUAUGGAAGAGAAAGGUAUGAAUUGGGAACGCACACCACCAGAAUCACCAGACAUGAAUCCAAUUGAAUUAGUGUGGGCUCAAUUGAAGAGGUACAUUAGGAGUGUUGCGAAGCCAACAACAAAACAGCAGCUGUUGGAUGGGAUAAAGAAAUUUUGGCUAGAAGUACUCACACCUGAGCAUUGUAAUAAUUAUAUAAAUCAC